UCAAGAUGUGUCCCCUAGGGGUGUUAGGGGGAGGAGGUGGGGCACAGCACUGAUAAGUUGUUACCUGGCUCUGUUGGGAGAGGAACUCAUGCGGUCAGAUGGUCCCGGCGGGAGCCCCCGACCGGUAGUGUUCUGUCCACACCCGCCGCAGCCGGCUACUGUUCACUGUAUCAUUCCCGCAGCUGAGCCUGGUAUGGGAGGGAGAAGCUGUCCCAUCUGGAGGAGGAGGAGGAAGAAGAGGACGAGGAGGAGGAAGAAGAGAACGAGGAGGAGGACACGACAGAGCACGCUCAGAACCCGGAGAAGGGGGAGUUGCCGGGGCUCAGGGCUCAGAACGCCAGAGGAUCCUAGCAUCCCAGAUUUGUUGUUCGGCCUUCAUUUUGAAGAGGACCAGUGACAUCACAGGGUGAUAUCUUGACUUGCUCAUGACUUGGAUUGAAGUGAGGCAGAGCUAUACAAAGUCACCAGCCUCAUUCUCUCUUCCAGAGUCAUUGAAGUCCAGUGGCAAGACAAAACUCAGGACGAAUGUUGAUGACGUGGGAUGCAAUGGAUGACCUUGGCAUCUUCAAGGUCUGACCAAGCUCUAAGCAAUCCACAGUGCCUGCUUCAGCUGCUUUCAUGGCUGUUGGAACAAACUAUUCUUGACUGCCCAUUCUGCCAGGGGAAGUCUUCAUAUGUUUAUGGCAGACAUUCCCCUGGCAUCAUAGAUUUAGAGUUGAAAGGGAAUAGAGUCUAUCUAGUUUAACCCCUACAUUUUACAAGUGCGCCCAUCUCAAUGAUCUCCAUAGAGGUGUUUGCCAUAAGUUUAUCUCAUAGGCUCAAUCACUGCUAUGUGAAGGCUUGGUAAGGUUAUUUGUUAUGAUCUAUCCUGAGAACAAGGGGGAAGCAGUCACCCAAUCUUAACUUAAUCAAACUUAACUGCUAGAUGACAGAGCUAUCACAGCUAUACACACGAAGUUUUCCUUUCCUCUUUCCCUAGGCAUAUUCCCUUUCCAGUUUUCCAUUGGCUGUUGACAUGAAAAGUACAGAGAAUUUCAUUGAACCCAGCACUGCAAAAGGGCAGUACUUACCCCUCCUCUCCACAGUGUUGUUACACAAACUUAUAAAAGACAUCCUAAUAGCAGCCCACUCCCUCACUAUGGCAUCUGAUUGAGUAUAAGGUCUAGUGGAUCGAAUGGAACUUGGGGUACAAUUUGAUUAUACCACCUCCCAGCCCAAAACCCUUUAAUGGAUCCCUAUUACCUACUGAAUAAGACAUAAACCCUUUAGACCAGCACUUGAAGGUCUCCACAAUCCAGUGCCUACCUAGGUUUCCAGGCUUAUCUCACGCUAUUGCCCAUCACAUACUACUGAUUCCAGGCAAACUUGACCAUGCGUGAGCUUCCCUUCUCAUUUUG
rnacentral:lncRNA from 1 species